rnacentral:rRNA from 1 species
UACAGAGGUCCCAAGCGUUGUUCGGAUUCACUGGGCGUAAAGGGUGCGUAGGCGGUCGGGUAAGUCUGACGUGAAAUCUUCAAGCUCAACUUGGAAACUGCGUCCGAUACUAUUCGGCUAGAGGAAUGGAGGGGAGACUGGAAUACUUGGUGUAGCAGUGAAAUGCGUAGAUAUCAAGUGGAACACCAGUGGCGAAGGCGAGUCUCUGGACAAUUGCUGACGCUCAGGCACGAAAGCGUGGGGAGCAAAAGGG